rnacentral:rRNA from 1 species
UAGUCCACGCCGUAAACGAUGAUUACUGGUUGUAGGCGAUACAUUGUCUGUGACUGAGCGAAAGUAUUAAGUAAUCCACCUGGGGAGUACGUCGGCAACGAUGAAACUCAAAGGAAUUGACGGGGGCCCGCACAAGCGGAGGAACAUGUGGUUUAAUUCGAUGAUACGCGAGGAACCUUACCUGGACUUAAAUGUAGAUUGCAUAGAGUGGAGACAUUCUUUUCUUCGGACUAUCUACAAGGUGCUGCAUGGUUGUCGUCAGCUCGUGCCGUGAGGUGUCGGGUUAAGUCCCAUAACGAGCGCAACCCCUAUCGUUAAUUGCUAGCAGGUAAUGCUGAGAACUCUAGCGAGACUGCCACCGUAAGGUGUGAGGAAGGUGGGGAUGACGUCAAAUCAGCACGGCCCUUACGUCCUGGGCUUCACACGUGCUACAAUGGAUGGUACAAUGAGCAGCCACUUAGCAAUAAGGAGCAAAUCUCAAAAAGCCAUUCUCAGUUC